rnacentral:tRNA from 1 species
GGCUGGUUGCCCGAGCGGCCAAAGGGAUCUGACUGUAAAUCAGACGGCUCAGCCUUCGGGGGUUCGAAUCCCUCACCAGCCAC